rnacentral:lncRNA from 1 species
GUCUCCUUCCGGUGUUGUGACCCUGAAGCGCAAUAGCGAGGUAUGAGCGUGGUACAUGCUGUAAGAGCUUGUAUAAGGACGUUUUAGUUUUUUUUAUAUGGUUUAUUCUAUGUUAAUUGCAGAGAGAUAACCCCCUGAUGCAAGAGUGUGAGCGCGUGGACGGUGUGUAAUAUUAUGCAAGUCGCGGACGCCGUGUUUCGCCUAUAGCAACGAGCCGUAUCACGCAGGGUUUUUAUUCCACUCCAUUAUGCAGCGUUUCUAGUCCACUUGUGGGAUUACGGCAGAGAUUGCGCUGGACUAAGGUAUAUUAUACCCACAUGGCAGGGAUGGAUAGACUCAACAGAUAAUCGCAUAUUGCAAGAUAGAGAAGAGAGCCUAGGAUCUUCCGGAUAUUUCUUCUGAUGGUCUUUGGAGAUUGCAUUAAAGUUGCAUUAAAACUCUGACGUCCUCCUUCAUUGCCAUACAAAGUGGGUUGGAACAAAUCUCAUUCUGUAUUUGGAGGAGGAGGAGGAGGAGGAGGAGAAGGAGCAACAAAGGCGAUACCCUCAUGUCCUGCAGUUUUGGGAUAAAAUCCAUCCUUCAUUAUUGUGGGAGAAAUGGCACUGAACAAGACCGUCUUUUUACAAGCAGUUGAUACAUGGUUUAGAUUAUUUUACAUUUUGAACAUUGAGUAUCCCAGGC